rnacentral:rRNA from 1 species
CCCUUAGAUGUCCUGGGCCGCACGCGCGUUACACUGAUGCAUUCAACGAGCUUAUAACCUUGGCCGAGAGGCCUGGGCAAUCUUGUUAACGUGCAUCGUGAUAGGGAUAGAUUAUUGAAAUUAUUAAUCUUGAACGAGGAAUUCCUAGUAAACGCAGAUCAUCAAUCUGCAUUGAUUACGUCCCUGCCCUUUGUACACACCGCCCGUCGCACCUACCGAUUGGAUGGUCCGGUGAGCUCUUCGGACUGCGCGGUCUGCAGUUUCUGCGUUCCGUGCGGAAAGUUGCGCAAACCUUAACAUUUAGAGGAAGGAGAAGUCGUAACA